UGCAUGGUAUCUGCCCUCAGCAGCUCAUUCCUGCUGGGUGUUCAAAGGACAGUGCAAUAGAAACUCAGUAUCUGGCAUCGUUGGUUUUCUUGGCUUCGUGCAUGUUAAACCUGGUAUUUUUACUGAAACAGUAUUCUUAACGGUUUUUUAUACUGCUCAGCUUGAGAUAAUUUUCAAGAGGAAGUAAUGCUUCUCCUUUUCUAGGGUGUUUGAAAUUGAGAACCAGACAGAUCCACACUCAGACCCUAAACAGGGCCCUGAAGUAAAGACAUUGGAUCCCAAAGAUUAUAGGAGUGACAGUGACAACUGUGGAUUGAUCAAGUUCUUUUUAAAAGGGCUGUUUUGAAGAUUAUGAUUCUAACUUUGGAGGAACUAUGGUGAUGAGCAGUGACUGGCAGUGGAAGUAAUCACAUAUAAAAACUCCUUAAAUAAAAAUUUAUUGGCUUUAAAUAAAAAAAAAA